rnacentral:rRNA from 1 species
UACGUAGGUGGCAAGCGUUGUCCGGAUUUACUGGGCGUAAAGAGCGCGCAGGCGGUCGUACAAGUCGCGUGUGAAAGCCCCCGGCUCAACUGGGGAGGGUCACGCGAUACUGUUCGACUCGAAGGCAGGAGAGGGAUGCGGAAUUCCAGGUGUAGCGGUGAAAUGCGUAGAUAUCUGGAGGAACACCGGUGGCGAAGGCGGCAUCCUGGACCAACACUGACACUGAGGAGCGAAAGCCAGGGGAGCAAACGGG